AGGUCUUCCUUGUUCAGCAGUUGAUUUUAAUUUGCUUAAUGAAAACUUUAUCCACAGAGCAGAGUGUUCUUCUAGGGCUCCUCAUUGACCAAAGCAAACUGAAAGCCAGAGAUCAAGGAUGCUACUAGGUGGAGCUCAUAUAGGUCAGCCGCUCAAAACACAGGGAAGGGUGAAGAAGAAUGGAUAAUAGAUCCUGGAUGUGAAAGGAAAAAAAAUUGUGACACUCCGUUUUUAAUAAGAAUGUAUCAGUUCAAUCACUAUCAGUUUGCAGAUGUACAUUAAAUAAUAACAAGCAAGUUACUUGGUUUGAAUUAGAUAUGAUUACCAUAUAGCAUACUUACUUUCAAAAACCAGAAAAUACGUAAAGAAAACUUACAGUAAUAUGAGUGUCAUAACAAGAGUGGAAAUGAAAAAUACUAUAAGUACUGUAAAUAGAGCAUAGAACAACUGAUGACAGAGUAAAUCAAUCUCUACAUUUAGCAAAAAUGUUUAUAACAAGAAGAAAGCAAAUGAAGAUUAUUUUGUUUUAAUCUUAAGAUGCAUUAGUUAGGAGUUUGAAAAGAAGGUAAUACUAAAAGUGAAAAAUAAAAUCUCUGU
ensembl:lncRNA LINC00430 long intergenic non-protein coding RNA 430